GAACCGGGAUUAAUACCGCACAAAAUCGUAGAAACACAUGUUUUAACGGUCAAAGAUUUAUCGGUCAUAGAUGGGCUCGCGUCUGAUUAGCUAGUUGGUGAGAUAACAGCCCACCAAGGCGACGAUCAGUAGCCGGUCUGAGAGGAUGAACGGCCACAUUGGAACUGAGACACGGUCCAA
rnacentral:rRNA from 1 species